UGACAGGGUGUGGUCUGUGGGGGAGCGGGCGGACGAGAGAGGAGGGCAGAGAGACCCACCGGGACCGAGGAGGCAGAGGGAGCGUGGCAGCGUCGCUCGGCGGGGUGACAGCCGGGAGCGCGGCGCGAGGGCCGAGUGGCGAGGGGAGUUUCCCGUCCUCGCCAAGUGGAGCCCCUGCUCGGAGCUGCGCCAGCGCCCUCCGCCUGGGCCCGCGGUGCCAGACACCUGCCGAGUCCGAAGCCGGAGUCCGGCUGAGCCUUCGGCCCCCAAGAUCUCCAACCUGAGUAUAUGCCAGUUGAAAUGGGAACACUGAGGCCAGCAAUUUAAGGAUUUCACAUUUGCUUGCAGUGGUCUUUGACCAGAUAAGCUGACCAUCUCCAAGGUAAGCAACAUUAUACUUUUGCCCAAUUUACUGGCAAAAUCCAGCAUGAUGUUAUUGGCUUUGGAUACAUUGUACAUCAUGAGUUAGGCAUUCAAAUGGUGCCCUGAAUUCGGUUUUUAUUGGUGGUGUUAGCAAUGAGAGCACCCUAUGAAUAUGGUUUGACCAAGUGCUAGACUGAACCCCAGGGAGAUAGAGUCCGUCUCUCUUUUCCCUGCUUGAUUAGCCCUUUUGUGAGACAACAGACUCUUUGUCUCUGAUGUUCAAAGACAAAAGAAGGUUUCUUUAUGAGCAGCUGUGUCAGGGGCUUGCACCUCUACCAAAGCCUAUUUUGGAAGAAGUAGAAGGCAGAGCGCUCCUCUGUGAAACCUUCCUUCCUUGGCUUUUUCCUGCCCACUUCCAGCAGGAGAGCAAAGUUGUUGAACUUUCCAGGAGUCCCUGUAAAAACUAGCAACGGAGGAUGUGUUAAUCAUGUUAAAGAACACAAUAGGAAUCCUUUUUUUCAUUUCAUUAGAAAAUCAGGACGCAUUUGAUGUGCACCAUCUGGUUUGUGAAUACAGGAAUAAGUUUUUCAAAAGGGCACAUUUCCAAGUUGUAUGUUCACAUGCUUCAGCAGGAAAAACCCAUAAGCAGCUCUAUUUUUAAUGAGAGCAGUGCUGAAGCUAAUAAGAUUGGGGUGGCUUUCCAGUAUGUGCCAUUUCUCCUCGACUACAUGUGCUCGCAACACGUUUGGCAGACUUGUCCUGUUUAGAGGCUGGGCUUCCAAUUGAAAAUUUUAAAAUUCUCCAUGUGUUAAUUGGAAAAUAGAAGAGAGGCAUCAUUGUAGUAGAGCAUCUGGCUUCUUAGGUAUUAAUUAUGGCUCUAUCUACUCAGAAAGACUAGUAUUUUAAAAUUAUCUCCUAUUAUUCACUGUGUUACUUUUAUAAACGGUAAGUUUCCAAGUCACAGAAAAAGUCAAGUUAAAUCUUACUAUGCAUUGUGUGCUUUUUAAACAUGUCUUUUAGAUGCAGUCACUGUUUAUAAAUAAUAAGCAGUGACAACACAGUAAUAAAAUACCAGAUUUACUAUUGCUCCUCCCCCAUGUUGAGUCCUUAAAAUAUAUUUUUUAUUUAAAUAAUAAGAUAGCUCUAGAUUGCUGUCAUCUCACUCUGUAGUAUGGCUCUAAAUAGGAACGUCUUUGGAUCAGAAAAGCUGCAUUAAAGGAACAAUUACUUCAGCUUUCUACAUAAUUUUUAAAAUUCUGUACAGUAACAAACAUGAUUUGUGAGGCAAUAUAAUGCUGUCCUUAACCUCUCAGUAAUUGGAGGCAUCUUUUGUAUGUAUUCCACAAGUCCAGCUCACGCUGAUGAAGGAAGCAUAAUUACAUUACAGGCAAUCUCAUCUAAGGUAAUUACAAUUGUCACCAUCCAUCCAAUUAAACAGGAUAACUAACUCUACUGAGUCAGAAACACCACAAAGCUUUCUGACUAAAUCCAAGCUUUGGGAUAAAGGUGUGAUUAGGAUUUUGAGAAUGUUCAUUUGCCAAAAUACUGUUGCUUAUAGAGAUAGAUAGCAAUGUUGAGAGAGGGGGAGAGCAGGGGGAGAUUGAAUAUUGGUAGACUUUCUUUUUUCCAUUGACUGAUCAAUUUCUUAGUUCUAAGCACAGAAGUCAGUGUAGAUUCUCAAAGCCAAAGCUUCAGACCCCACACAUCUUUCUGCAAAGGUUAACACAGCAUCAGAAUGCCAUAAUGGUCUACUGGACCCAUCUGGCUGGCACCUUGUCCUAAAUCAGCCCUGGACCCCAUUAUUCCUUCAGAGACCUGUCAUCUCGUUCCACUUGUGAAGAUGCAAUAUACCAUGUCCUGAACUCCGUCCCUGUCUUUGCAGGAUGGGGGAAGUUGGCUCAAGUAACAGCACCGGCCCCACGCCUGAAGCUCUUGCCCUGGUUAGUGCAGGGUCAGUGUGGUAGGCAAUGGGGAGCAUCACUAAGAAUUACAGAGGUCUAAUACUAGUGGAUAGGAUGCACGUCUCAAAGAGCUCACCUCUGACUGUGUGAUCCAGGCCAGAGAGUAAGCCUUGGAUAACAGGACUCAGAGACUGAGAAGUGAGAAUGAUGUUGCUCACUGCAACUGAGAUAUAUAUAAAGGGCCUAAGUGAGAUUAUGUAUGUACGCCCUCAUUGGAUAAUAUACUAUGUGAAGAUAACAGUGCUUUCUUUAUGGUGCUUCAUGAAUGCAGAGAUCCAGGAGAUAAACUUCUUGGUGGGGGGCAGGCAGAGAGCGUUCGCUAUUUGCUGUCUCUGGCCCCCUCAGUCCCCACUCAGCACCGUUUCCCAAAAUCCUACAACCUGGCUUUCUGCUGUCUCCGAGACCUUCCACCCGUCUCCAUGAUUUUCAUCUCUUAUGUGUUUUAUACUCUCCCUCAGCCACCUACACUCCUUGUCACUCUUGGAUACCUCUUUUCGUUGGUCCUCUAGACACUUCCAACCCUGCUUUAGAACGUCCCUCUUCCAGGAAACCGAUUCAUCACAGAAGGGUAGGAGCAGGGCAGAGAAAAGAGCAGGUGGAAGGCGAGCUGAGCUCAGUUUCAUAUUCCACUGCUGACCAGCUCUGUGUCACUGAAGUAGCCGUCAAAGCUAGUGAGUCCCAGCUCCUCGUCUGUAAGGUGAAGAGGUUAAUUAAUGUCUGUCCUGCCAACCUCAUUUUACUUAACCUCAUUUUAAGUAUCUAAAAUGAAGUUAUAAAUGUGGAAAA